rnacentral:rRNA from 1 species
GACGAACGCUGGCGGCGUGCCUAAUACAUGCAAGUUGAGCGCUGAAGGUUGGUACUUGUACCCACUGGAUGAGCAGCGAACGGGUGAGUAACGCGUGGGGAAUCUGCCUUUGAGCGGGGGACAACAUUUGGAAACGAAUGCUAAUACCGCAUAAAAACUUUAAACACAAGUUUUAAGUUUGAAAGAUGCAAUUGCAUCACUCAAAGAUGAUCCCGCGUUGUAUUAGCUAGUUGGUGAGGUAAAGGCUCACCAAGGCGAUGAUACAUAGCCGACCUGAGAGGGUGAUCGGCAACAAUGGGACUGAGACACGGCCCAAACUCCUACGGGAGGCAGCAGUAGGGAAUCUUAGGCAAUGGACGAAAGUCUGAGCGAGCAACGCCGCGUGAGUGAAGAAGGUUUUCGGAUCGUAAAACUCUGUUGGUAGAGAAGAAAGUUGGUGAGAGUGGAAAGCUCAUCAAGUGACGGUAACUACCCAGAAAGGGACGGCUAACUACGUG